CUGCUUCAAACAAACAAAAAAAAAAAGAAGGGCUCCUUUUUUCUCUGCUAGGGUUUCGAAACCCUAGCUUUUGCGCCGCCAUCGCCUGCCCACCGCUCUUCCACCAUGGACAGUGGUCGGAGUUUGGCAAAUCAAGGCCUUUAGCCCUUGUUUCAGCCCCACUUGAAAGCUAAGUAUACUUAGCCCACGAUUGGAAGAGGAAAUCUUUCCCCUCGUCCCCUUUCGAUUCUGUUUUUGAAGACGGAGAGAACUCCGACGACGUAACCGUGAGGCGAUUCAGGUAAGUUUCUUUCUUCUUCCUUUUUGUUUUCAUUUACAUAUAUAAAUAAAAUAUAAAGUAAUCAAUAAAAAAACAAAAACAAACAAGAACUUAAAACGAAGAUAAAAAACCUUUGAAGCUUUUCUCUUUUUUUUUUCUCCACCUGUAUAUGUAAUACACUUUUGUAUUAAAAAAAAGAAACCCCCCCUUUUACAUUUGGUUUCCUUUCGGCUUUAUAGCCGAUUACCAUAGAAAAUAUUUUCUGCUCUCUUCUCUUGUUUGUUGUUUUUUUGCUCUCUUUUCUUCUGCUUUGCGUGCUUUUUGCAGGUAACGUCAGAGUCGGUGAACAAAGGCGAUGGGAUAUAAAGUAAUCAAUAAAAAAACAAAAACGAACAAGAACUUAAAACGAAGAUAAAAAACCUUUGAAGCUUUUCUCUUUUUUUUUUCUCCACCUGUAUAUGUAAUACACUUUUGUAUUAAAAAAAAGAAACCCCCCCUUUUACAUUUGGUUUCCUUUCGGCUUUAUAGCCGAUUACCAUAGAAAAUAUUUUCUGCUCUCUUCUCUUGUUUGUUGUUUUUUUGCUCUCUUUUCUUCUGCUUUGCGUGCUUUUUGCAGGUAACGUCAGAGUAGGUGAGCAAAGGCGAUGGGACGGCGUCUGUUCGGGCGCAAAAUGCGCUGACACCAUGUAGGGGAGGGAGGCACGGCGCCUAGCAUAGGAACCCUAGGGUUUCUUCUUUUUUUCCUGAUAAAUUUGGGCUUUGGGUUUUAAUUUUUGGGUUAGGUUUAGUUGGGCUUUGGAUUGGGUUAUAGUUCGGGCUUUGUAUUUAGGCUGUGAAUUGUAAAAGAGCUGUUAACAAUUUUUUUAGUUUGGGAUUAGUCAGUCCGAGCAAAAAUUGGGCUCUACACACCUUAAUUCGACUGUCGACAUCAACACACCUCAUUUAUGGAGUAAUAAUUUGUGAUGAUUAAGUCACAAUAUAUAAAAAUUAUAUGUUGGGAGUCACCGACUUCUCUCCCGCUCUGUCUCUCGAUCUUUCUCUUUGUUUCUACUUCAUAGAAUAAAAAAUCAAGCUUAU
rnacentral:lncRNA from 1 species